UUCACCGAUACGGAAGCCUCGUAAAAGCACCCAAUCUGCUCUUUACGGGCAGGUAACACUCGUCUGUUGCUGGAAGUAAACCUCCUCUGGAGUUAAUCAGCUGCUAUACGCUCUUCUUUACGUAUAGCCCACAGAUCAAACAUGAGUGGCCCUACUCCGCCGCCUCUCUUCUACUAGAGACUCGAUGGUUUUAGGGUUAAGAUAUGACCGUAGCGGCUCUGCGAAGAGCUCGGAAGCCUAGUUCCGUAGGUGAACCUGCGGAAGGAUCAUU
rnacentral:rRNA from 1 species